GGACGCGGGAGCUCUGAUGAGUCAGUGUCCCUGCAGCGGUCGGACCUGUCCCUGCCCCGAGGAACAGGGACUUUUAAGGACAUCACUCUUGACAUCUCAGAAAGCCCUAAAAGGCAGUGGCAAAAGAGAAUUUGCCUUCUCGUCAGGAUGAAAGCUUGCCUUUACACUGGGCAAUGCAUCACUCAAAAACCAACCGCAAAAAUGGUGGGGGUUGUGAGGUGCACAGAACAAAGAGACAAAGCAGGUCCCAGGCGUCGUCUGCAGUGGUGAAAAGAAAAAGCUUCUGGAUGGAGCAGACUCUCACCUCAGUGAGCUUCAGCUCCUGGUUGAAGACCUAUCGGUCAUGAAUGUCCCACGUGAUGAGUCCCAUCCCUGGACCAGGAGGAGAGAAGACAUUUUCUCACCAGAGACGGGGAACUUGGGGCUGAGAAUCUGUACAAGCAAACCUUGUUAAACUAAUGCUUAUCUUUCUAGUCAUUUCUUCACCACUUACUACCCUUCACCCUUACUACCCAAACCCCUUUGUCCUGUCAAUUCUUCACAUAUUUAUUGUUUCUUUGUCUAAAAUAUAUAAAAGCUUCCUGCUCUGCUCACUUCUUUGGGUCUCCAUCCUCUUGUGCGGGCUCCCAUGUUGUAAAAUGUCAAUAACAUUUGUAUGUUUUUCUCCUGUUAGCCUGUAUUCUUCAGGUUCAUUUUUAGACCGAGCCAGGAAUGCUAAGAGGAUCGGGGACAGCUUUGUCUUCUUCUGCACUUGUCUUACUUCUGGAGGGCUCCACCUUAGGGAGGGCUCAUUCUCUUUCUCAACUUCAACUUGAAAAGACUUAGGGAAGAAUUCUGAGUGGCCUUGCUUGGGUUAGCUGACCACCUCUGACUCAAUCAACCACGGUCAAGGGGCAGGGUCCUUGUUAAGAAUAAUGUUGUCUAGAUGUGUGUGGCUUUCUGAUUAGCCAAAGUACUAACUUAUUUCUGGUUACCUUGAUGCCAACUAACACUGAGUUCCUCAAACCCCUCAAAGCUUUACAUCUUUUCCACGUGACCCGCCACCAGGUUAAC
rnacentral:lncRNA from 1 species